GACGAACGCUGGCGGCGUGCUUAACACAUGCAAGUCGAGCGAGGCCCUUCCUUCGGGAAGGUGUCCUAGCGGCGAACGGGUGAGUAACACGUGGGCAACCUGCCCUCAGCUCUGGGAUAACUCCGGGAAACCGGGGCUAAUACCGGAUACGACCUCUAAGGGCAUCCGAAGAGGUGGAAAGUUUUUCGGCUGAGGAUGGGCCCGCGGCCUAUCAGCUUGUUGGUGGGGUGACGGCCUACCAAGGCGACGACGGGAGCCGGCCUGAGAGGGUGACCGGCCACACUGGGACUGAGACACGGCCCAGACUCCUACGGGAGGCAGCAGUGGGGAAUAUUGCGCAAUGGGCGAAAGCCUGACGCAGCGACGCCGCGUGAGGGACGAAGGCCUUCGGUUGUAACCU
rnacentral:rRNA from 1 species